GGGAUGGGAGGAGGGAAUUAUUACUUAAUGGGGGCGUCCCUCUGUGGUGAUGAAAAAUGCUCUGGAACUGUAGUGGUAACAGUACCACAACACUGUAAAUGUACUAAAAGCUACGGAACUGUACACUUUAAAAUGGUGAAUUUUGGAACGGGGGGGCAGGAAAAUAAAAUGGUGCAUUUUAUGUUAUGUGAAUUUUACCACAAUAAAAAAUAAAAAGAGAAAAAGUUGCUUUACACAAAAGCAUGAAGUAAAAAUUACAUGUGUUAUGGUAAAAUAGCACAAAUCAUAAAAGCAAUCCAAGAAUGCCUAAAAUGUAAGGAAUAUUGCUUUAUCCAGAUUACCUGAGAAUGGCAGUCCUCAGGUGGAGAAAGGUGUAUCUGCCCUGCCCAACCAGCAGCAGGCAGGCAGGGGCCUCGCAGCCCAGUGCAGGCGCUGUUUAGAAAGGGGCAUCCAUGUGGAUAAAAGGCCCAGAUUAAAUGGGGCAGGAUGAUAUUUUGAGAUAUCUGACUUUGUUCUUUCUGCUCUGGAAUUUCACUCCCUGGCCCUGCCCCCUGCCUGCGGCAGCCAAGUUCAUUGCCAGGAGAGGGAAGUGACAGAGCAGAAAUCGGGAACAAAGGACUGUGGAAGAAAAAAAAAAAUUACAGGUGAAAGACUGGAAUGCAGGCAGAACUAGGAACAGGGACAAACAGACCUUAUCACUGCAAAGGGGCUACUACCUAGAAAGAAGUGUUCAAGCCCAAGUUUUUCAAGCAUAAUGUUAACUAACCAAGGGCAGAGAUAACCCAAAUGGAUCCAUCCCAUCUACAAUUAAACUAAGGACAGAAUCACUUGAGCUCCUUCCAAAGAAUGUUAAGUAAACAGAUUUUAUUCAAUCUUUCCUAGAGUUUAUAAUGAAUAUUUGUUAUUUAAUAUGGUAGUUACAUUACAGUUUUACCUUACGAGCGAUAGAACAUUUGGUGAAUAAGAUUAACAAA